AGGGAAGGGACGAAGUGAGGAGGGUGGAAUUAAAGUACCAACAAAGUACUGAGCAGAGCCCCAGGCAGCUUUUCAAAGGCACUACUGCCAAAUAUUCUGCUUCUCAGGAUGAAACAGUAGCUGGCUGCUAGAUGUUCCAUGCCCGAGAACUGACACCAAGUUUAACAAGAGGAAGACAUGCCCCAAAGGCCUUACUGGUAGUCAGUGGAGCUGCCUUUCCGUUUGCGGUUGCAAUCCACACCACUGGUACCAAGAGAGCUGGAAAGCAGGUCGGUGGGGCCCGGGGACAUGAAAUCACUGAUGGUUGAAGAAAUGUCCAUUCUCUGGUCUGCCAUUGGAUGAUCUGGAAUUGUUACAAGAGGCACAAAGGCGUUUCUCUGUCUUACGUUGUGUCUGCUCAUGUCCUGUUUUUCUACCACAAUGGCCUCCUACCCCGUGUUCACCUGUGUAACAGGACAUGGCUGGAGAAACAUACCCCUUAGAGGCCUGCAUGCCGCCCAGCAAUCCUUCAUUCCCCUGGCCAUUUAUUUUCUCAUUCUGCUAUGAAGGACUUCAUACUUUGCCCUCUCUCCUCAAACUUCCAUCGUCUCCUUAGUCUCCAUUCUCCGCUGAGGACUCUGCUUCUUAGUGAACUGAGAAAAGAGGCAGGUGCACACCUACCACCUCCUUAGAUGCUCCUACUUAGGAUCCCUUCCCCAGCUCAUGCCUGGAUUCUACCUCUCCCACCUCCUCGAGACCACCAUUUCAG
rnacentral:lncRNA from 1 species